rnacentral:rRNA from 1 species
GAUGAACGCUGGCGGCGUGCCUAACACAUGCAAGUCGAACGAAGCACCUUACCUGAUUCUUCGGAUGAAAGUUUGGUGACUGAGUGGCGGACGGGUGAGUAACGCGUGGGUAACCUGCCCUGUACAGGGGGAUAACAGCUGGAAACGGCUGCUAAUACCGCAUAAGCGCACGAGGAGACAUCUCCUUGUGUGAAAAACUCCGGUGGUACAGGAUGGGCCCGCGUCUGAUUAGCUGGUUGGCAGGGUAACGGCCUACCAAGGCAACGAUCAGUAGCCGGUCUGAGAGGAUGAACGGCCACAGUGGAACUGAGACACGGUCCAAACUCCUACGGGAGGCAGCAGUGGGGAAUAUUGCACAAUGGGGGAAACCCUGAUGCAGCAACGCCGCGUGAGUGAAGAAGUAUUUCGGUAUGUAAAGCUCUAUCAGCAGGGAAGAUAAUGACGGUACCUGACGAAGAAGCUCCGGCUAAAUACGUG